rnacentral:misc_RNA from 1 species
UCCGGUUUGGCACCGGCAGUCUUCCUAGAGUCCCCGCCAUUACGCGCUGGCAACUAAGAACAGGGGUUGCGCUCGUUGCGGGACUUAACCCAACAUCUCACGACACGAGCUGACGACAACCAUGCACCACCUGUGCAGGACCCUUGCGGACCCGACGUUUCUGCCGGAUUUCCCUGCAUGUCAAGCCUUGGUAAGGUUCUUCGCGUUGCGUCGAAUUAAACCACAUGCUCCACCGCUUGUGCGGGUCCCCGUCAAUUCCUUUGGUUUUCAGUCUUGCGACCGUACUCCCCAGGCGGAAUGCUUAAAGCGUUAGCGACGGCACCCGGGGACUAUAAAACCCCAGACACCAAGCAUUCAUCGUUUAAGGCUAGGACUA